rfam:Echinostoma caproni strain Egypt genome assembly, scaffold: ECPE_scaffold0005421
GCACUACUGAUGAGUUCGAAACAGGACGAAACAGCUGUCCAGUGC